GCGAGUACGAGGCCAACUCACUUCUUCACAUUUCCAAGUAGGAAUAAUGAACUCCAGCAUGGAACCACUAGGUUUCUGAUGUUCUAUCUUAACCUGCCGACAUGUAGAGCACUUAGCCACAAACUCUGCAACCUCUCUUUUUAUCCCACUUCACCAAUAGAUCUCCCGCAAGUCAAGGUACAUCUUAAUGGCCCCUGGAUGAAUAGAGUAUCAUGCACCAUGCGCUUU
rnacentral:lncRNA from 1 species